rnacentral:rRNA from 1 species
AGGAGGAGGCUACUUUAGUUAAUACCUAGAGAUAGUGGACGUUACUCGCAGAAUAAGCACCGGCUAACUCUGUGCCAGCAGCCGCGGUAAUACAGAGGGUGCAAGCGUUAAUCGGAUUUACUGGGCGUAAAGCGCGCGUAGGCGGCUAAUUAAGUCAAAUGUGAAAUCCCCGAGCUUAACUUGGGAAUUGCAUUCGAUACUGGUUAGCUAGAGUGUGGGAGAGGAUGGUAGAAUUCCAGGUGUAGCGGUGAAAUGCGUAGAGAUCUGGAGGAAUACCGAUGGCGAAGGCAGCCAUCUGGCCUAACACUGACGCUGAGGUGCGAAAGCAUGGGGAGCAAACAGGAUUAGAUACCCUGGUAGUCCAUGCCGUAAACGAUGUCUACUAGCCGUUGGGGCCUUUGAGGCUUUAGUGGCGCAGCUAACGCGAUAAGUAGACCGCCUGGGGAGUACGGUCGCAAGACUAAAACUCAAAGGAAUUGACGGCGGGCGGGGGCGGCGG